GUCCACGCCCUAAACGAUGUCAACUAGGUGUUGGGUGGGUAAAACCAUUUAGUACCGGAGCUAACGCGUGAAGUUGACCGCCUGGGGAGUACGACCGCAAGGUUAAAACUCAAAGUAAUUGACGGGGACCCGCACAAGCGGUGGAUGAUGUGGAUUAAUUCGAUGCAACGCGAAAAACCUUACCUACCCUUGACAUGUCCGGAAUCCCGAAGAGAUUUGGGAGUGCUCGAAAGAGAGCCGGAACACAGGUGCUGCAUGGCUGUCGU
rnacentral:rRNA from 1 species